rnacentral:lncRNA from 1 species
UACACUGUUUUAACAGAAUAUUUUCAUUUGUUCCAAGUAAGUAAAAGGGUUUGGGAAGAAGAAAAAACUGGCUUUUUUCAAGUGAUCCACCUACCUCAGCCUCCCAGAGUUCUGGGAUUACAUGCAUGAGCCACCUGGCCUGGCCAAAAGUGGCUGACUUUGAGAAAUUAACAAGAAUAUGCCACAAUAACCACCUUGCUUAGUAUAUGCCAAGCACUUCUAUGCACUUUACAAGUGGAUGAAGAAACUAAUGACAGAGAUGUUAGCUAACUUGCUCAAGUUAGUAAGUGGGCAAGCUAGGAUUUGAACCUAGACAGCCUGGCCCCAGAGUCCAUGAUGUUACGCAUUAUGCAUACUGCUUUGCUAUAAAUGGGCAUAUUCAUCAUUUGAUUGUUCUCUUAAGACUCUGUCUCAGAUUAGGUAACAUUUACAGUUUAAGAAAUGUCUUCCAUUUUAGAUGUUUAUCAAAGGUCUUUUAUGGGGAAGAAAGUAAAUG